AGCUCAUCUAGACUAUUUUACAGUGAAGAUAUUCCAUGGAGGGCGCAUAAUGUUAAAACCUAUCAAAGGCACUUGCCACCAAAGGAAAACAAGAAGAGGAAGGUCAGCAAUAAUGAAGGUCAAGAGAGGGAAAGAUCAUAUGUCUGCCAAUGAAUUGAGGAAGAAACCAAGGGAGAGAGCAGAGUAUCAAAAGUUAUUUGUGUAGAGAAAGUUUGCUGCUGCCAGCAAACUGCCAAAGCUGCAAAGCUGGUAGCAAAUAGGUCUGCCCCAUCCACAUCAAGGCCUGCACAAUCUACAACCAGACCUACAAGCUCCAGGCCAGCUCAAACUACAUCUGCCCCAACCAGACCUACGAGUUCAAGGCUUGCACAACCUUUAAUAGCAUCAAGCAAGCAGGCUACAACUUCAACAAGGACACCUCAGAGGAUCAGAGAAAGGUCAGUUACAAGA